UGGGGAAUCUUGCGCAAUGGCGAAAGCCUGACGCAGCCAUGCCGCGUGGAUGAUGAAGGUCUUAGGAUUGUAAAUCCUUUCACCGGUGAAGAUAAUGACUGUAGCCGGAGAAGAAGCCCCGGCUAACUUCGUGCCAGCAGCCGCGGUAAUACGAAGGGGGCUAGCGUUGCUCGGAAUUACUGGGCGUAAAGGGAGCGUAGGCGGACAUUUAAGUCAGGGGUGAAAUCCCGGAGGCUCAACCUCGGAACUGCCUUUGAUACUGGGUGUCUUGAGUGUGAGAGGAGGUAUGUGGAACUCCGAGUGUAGGGGUGAAAUUCGUAGAUAUUCGGAAGAACACCAGUGGCGAAGGCGACAUACUGGCUCAUUACUGACGCUGAGGCUC
rnacentral:rRNA from 1 species